UCCCUGGUGGCUUAGGCGGUAAAGAAUCUGCCUGCAAUGCAGGAGACCUGGGUUCAGCCCCUGGGCUGGGAA
rfam:TPA: Bos taurus chromosome 9, whole genome shotgun sequence.